UACGGAGGGUGCGAGCGUUGUCCGGAAUCAUUGGGCGUAAAGAGUUCGUAGGCGGUUUGUCGCGUCUGCCGUGAAAGUCCGGGGCUCAACUCCGGAUCUGCGGUGGGUACGGGCAGACUAGAGUGAUGUAGGGGAGACUGGAAUUCCUGGUGUAGCGGUGAAAUGCGCAGAUAUCAGGAGGAACACCGAUGGCGAAGGCAGGUCUCCGGGCAUUAACUGACGCUGAGGAGCGAAAGCAUGGGGAGCGAACAGG
rnacentral:rRNA from 1 species